GACGAACGCUGGCGGCGUGCUUAACACAUGCAAGUCGAACGGAAAGGCCCGGCUUUUGUGGGGUGCUCGAGUUGCGAACGGGUGAGUAACACGUGAGUAACCUGCCCCUGACUGUGGGGUGACUUCAUGAAACUGGGGCUAAUACCGGAUAGGAGCUCCUGCUGCAUGGUGGGGGUUGGUUAGUUUCGGCGGUUGGGGAUGGACUCGCGGCUUAUCAGCUUGUUGGUGGGGUAGUGGCUUACCAAGGCUUUGACGAGUAGCCGGCGUGAGAGGGUGACCGGCCACAUUGGGACUGAGAUACGGACACGACUCCUACGGGAGCGAGAAGUGGGAGAUAGUGCAAAAUGAGCGGAAGCCUGAUGCAGCAACGCCGCGUGCGGGAUAACGGCCUUCGGGUUGUAAACCGAUUUCGCCUGUGACGAAGAGUGAGUGACGGGAAUGGGUAAAGAAGGACCGGCCAAAUACGUG
rnacentral:rRNA from 1 species